UACGGAGGGGGCUAGCGUUGUUCGGAAUUACUGGGCGUAAAGCGCACGUAGGCGGCUUUGUAAGUUAGAGGUGAAAGCCCAGGGCUUAACCCUGGAACUUGCCUUUAAGACUGCAUCGCUAGAAUCGUGGAGAGGUGAGUGGAAUUCCGAGUGUAGAGGUGAAAUUCGUAGAUAUUCGGAAGAACACCAGUGGCGAAGGCGACUCACUGGACACGAUUGACGCUGAGGUGCGAAAGCGUGGGGAGCAACAGG
rnacentral:rRNA from 1 species